AUCCAAAUAAAAGCUUAUAUAGCAUUUUAGUUACAUUAAAAAGAUUAUUAUUAUUAAUAUUAUUUGA
rnacentral:tRNA from 1 species